rnacentral:rRNA from 1 species
GAUGAACGCUGGCGGCGUGCUUAACACACGCAAGUCGAACGAUGAACCGGGUGCUUGCACUCGGGGAUUAGUGGCGAACGGGUGAGUAACACGUGAGCAACCUGCCCCUGACUCUGGGAUAAGCGCUGGAAACGGCGUCUAAUACUGGAUAUGUCCCGUCACCGCAUGGUGUGCGGGUGGAAAGAUUUUUCGGUUGGGGAUGGGCUCGCGGCCUAUCAGCUUGUUGGUGAGGUAAUGGCUCACCAAGGCGUCGACGGGUAGCCGGCCGGGGAGGGUGACCGGCCACACUGGGACUGAGACACGGCCCAGACUCCUACGGGAGGCAGCAGUGGGGAAUAUUGCACAAUGGGCGGAAGCCUGAUGCAGCAACGCCGCGUGAGGGAUGACGGCCUUCGGGUUGUAAACCUCUUUUAGCAGGGAAGAAGCGAGAGUGACGGUACCUGCAGAAAAAGCACCGGCUAACUACGUGCCAGCCGCCGCGGUAA